rnacentral:tRNA from 9 species
GCGCCCUUAGCUCAGUUGGAUAGAGCAACGACCUUCUAAGUCGUGGGUCGCAGGUUCGAAUCCUGCAGGGCGCGCCA